rnacentral:lncRNA from 1 species
UCGAACUGUAUCCUAUGGCACAAAGGAAAUCUAUGUAGUUGUUGGUUGCUGUAUCAUAUACUAGACCAGGGUCUAGUGCUGAUAAAGGGUCCACAUGUCCAGCACCAUAAUCAAAUGGUGUGGAUGGCUUUCCAGUUGCAAUAUCUUUAAUUCUUUCUCCAUUCUUGUAUUUACUAUAAGCUGUUGUCAUCAGUGCUGACCUUAUAGCUGCAGGGCUCCAUUCUGGAUGGGCGGCCUUAACAAGUGCUGCUAAUCCACUUAUGUGAGGGCAGGACAUGGACGUGCCAGAAACUAUGUUGAAGUCCACAUGCCGGGUGUCUUCAGGCAAUCCUGUAGGACCAACCUUUCCCGUCCAACCAGCAAGUAUGUUCACACCUGGGGCUAUCAAAUCAGGUUUGAGUAUAUCAGGUGUGAUUAGAUUUGGACCUCUUGAACUAAAUGCUGCUACAACAGGUGAUGGCUGGACUCCGAGCUGGGUGCGUCCAGAUGUAACUAUGGCACUUGGAUUAGGGUCUGAAAAGGUGUACUUCUUUAUCUCCUCGCCUGGAGCCUGACCUACAGCUGCUGUAGGUAUAAAAUGGGCGUCGGCAACCAGCUCUUCUCCGAAGGUAUCCGUGUUUGCUAGAAUCAUUCCAAUCCCACCUGCCUCUCUGACUGCCAGACCUUUUUGUGCCCUUGGAUUCAGCCCUCGGUCGCACACCACAAUCUUCCCCUUGGCUUUUUCUGAGAUUAAGCCUCCUUUCAUGCAUAGAUUACCAUUGGAUGCUCUACUGAUAUUGCCAGCAUAAACCAAUGGGAUUAAGGACCCAGGUAAGGGUUUUCCAUUGUAAAGUGAUUCCCCAGUUAGUUUUUUACCAUUUCCAAGGGUAAUAUAUGAUGGGAAUUGUCGAUCCAUUGUACCAGCCCCCACUGUAGUUAUCCAUGGCGCGACAUUAGAUAAGCUACCCGGACUUGGGCCUCCAUUCCCAGCUGAGCAUGAAACAAGAAUCCCUUUAGACGUUGCUGCAAACGCUCCGAUUGCAACAGCAUCUUGGAAGUAAUCAUUGGCUGAUCCACCCAGUGACAAGGAUAGAAUGUGCACGCCAUCUUCAAUUGCCUUUUCCAUCGC